UCUCAAGGAGAAUUCAAUUUC
rnacentral:piRNA from 1 species